GAUGAACGCUGGCGGCGUGCCUAAUACAUGCAAGUCGAGCGCACAGACGAGGAGCUUGCUCCUAUUACGUUAGCGGCGGACGGGUGAGUAACACGUGGGUAACCUGCCUAUAAGACUGGGAUAACUUCGGGAAACCAAAGCUAAUACCGCAUAAUAUUUUUAAACACAUGGUUCAAGAGUGAAAGAUGGUAUUGCUGUACCUUAUAGAUGUCUCCGCUCGGAUUAAGCUGGUUGUUAGGUUAAAGCCUUCCCAGGGCAACGAUGCUUAGCCGACCGGAGAGGGUGAUAGGCCACACGGGAACUGAGACACGGCCAAGACCCCUAGGGGAGGCAGCAGAAGGGAAUCUUCGGCAAUGGGCGAAAGCUUGACGGAGCAACGCCGCGUGAGGGAUGAAGGUUUCCGGUUCGAAAACCCCUGUUAUUAGGGAAGAACAUAUGUGGAAGUAAAUGCGCACGUCGUGACGGUACCUACUCAGAAAGGCACGGCUAACUACGUG
rnacentral:rRNA from 1 species